AUUUAUAUAAUAUAAAAAGUAUAUUUGACUUCCAAUCAAAAAGUCUAAUUAUUUAGUAUAAAUA
rnacentral:tRNA from 1 species